rnacentral:rRNA from 1 species
AAGGAUCGGCUAACUCCGUGCCAGCAGCCGCGGUAAUACGGAGGAUCCAAGCGUUAUCCGGAUUCAUUGGGUUUAAAGGGUCCGUAGGCGGUUCUUUAAGUCAGUGGUGAAAGCCGACAGCUCAACUGUCGAACUGCCAUUGAUACUGGAGACCUUGAGUACAAAUGAAGUAGGCGGAAUGAGUCAUGUAGCGGUGAAAUGCAUAGAUAUGACUCAGAACACCGAUUGCGAAGGCAGCUUACUAACAUGUAACUGACGCUGAGGGACGAAAGCGUGGGGAGCGAACAGGAUUAGAUACCCUGGUAGUCCACGCCGUAAACGAUCAUCACUCGCUGUUGGCGAUAUACUGUCAGCGGCCAAGCGAAAGUA